rnacentral:rRNA from 1 species
AUUGAACGCUGGCGGCAUGCUUUACACAUGCAAGUCGAACGGUAACAGGCCGCAAGGUGCUGACGAGUGGCGAACGGGUGAGUAAUGCAUCGGAACGUGCCCAGUCGUGGGGGAUAACUACUCGAAAGAGUAGCUAAUACCGCAUACGAUCUAUGGAUGAAAGCGGGGGACCGUAAGGCCUCGCGCGAUUUGAUCGGCCGAUGUCAGAUUAGGUAGUUGGUGGGGUAAAGGCUCACCAAGCCAACGAUCUGUAGCUGGUCUGAGAGGACGACCAGCCACACUGGGACUGAGACACGGCCCAGACUCCUACGGGAGGCAGCAGUGGGGAAUUUUGGAAAAUGGGCGCAAGACUGAACCAGCAAUGCCGCGUGCAGGAAGAAGGCCUUCGGGUUGUAAACUGCUUUUGUACGGAACGAAACGGCUCUGGUUAAUACCCGGGGCUAAUGACGGUACCGUAAGAAUAAGCACCGGCAAACUACGU